AUGGAGAAGCAUCUGAGGACCUCCUUCGUGGUUUUGUGGCUUCAUUUUUGUUGGGUGAGUGGCAAAAACCAAGUGGAACAGAGUCCUCCAUCCCUGAUCAUCGUGGAGGGAGAAAACUGCACAUUUCAAUGCAAUUAUACAGUGAGUCCUUUUAACAACUUAAGGCGGUACAAACUGGACACUGGGAGAGGUCCUGUUUCCCUGAUAACUAUGACCCACAGUGGUAGCAAAAAGUUGAAUGGAAGGCACACAGUGACUCUGGAUACAACCACCAAGCACAGUUCCCUGCACAUCACAGCCGCCCAGCUCAGUGAUCCAGCCUUCUACAUCUGUGUGGUGGGUGCACCGUGCGCCCCAGGCACUUGCAGCCAGUACCCAAACCUGAACCUGGAGAUUGUCAAGGAGCCUUAA